rnacentral:tRNA from 1 species
GCUUUAACGGUGUUUGACAUGUUAUAAUUUCAUUGUAGCGUUGGGUGAAAUUUAUCCUUAAAGUA